CGGCCACACCAGUUCACAUGCGAUGACUGAAGUUAAGCAACGUCGAGCCUGGUCAGUACCUAGAUGGGUCACUACAUGGGAAUACCAGGUGCUGUAUG